CCCAAUUCAGCCAUUAACGCAUUCGCAAAACUUCAGAUCUCAAAUAUUAAGCCAUAUCAGAUCAUGGACAUGCCUCUUCUUCUCUUUCUCGUCAUUAACGCCUUGGCAUAACUGAAAUCGGGUGAAAUUGCAGUCACCUGAAAACCCCUGUCCCAAAAGGGCCUUAAAAUCUGCUUUCCCCUUAUUGAAUCCAUAGAAUUUGACACAAUUAACAAACACCCAUUUGGGUGUGAAUUAAACAAAGCCUCUAUUGUAAACAAUUCUCUAUCACCAAAUGACUAAGAAGAAAUCCAAGUCAUGAAAAAAC
rnacentral:lncRNA from 1 species